rnacentral:rRNA from 1 species
GACGAACGCUGGCGGCGUGCUUAACACAUGCAAGUCGAACGGAAAGGCCCUGCUUUUGUGGGGUGCUCGAGUGGCGAACGGGUGAGUAACACGUGAGUAACCUGCCCUUGACUUUGGGAUAACUUCAGGAAACUGGGGCUAAUACCGGAUAGGAGCUCCUGCUGUUUGGUGGGGGUUGGAAAGUUUCGGCGGUUGGGGAUGGACUCGCGGCUUAUCAGCUUGUUGGUGGGGUAGUGGCUUACCAAGGCUUUGACGGGUAGCCGGCCUGAGAGGGUGACCGGCCACAUUGGGACUGAGAUACGGCCCAGACUCCUACGGGAGGCAGCAGUGGGGAAUAUUGCACAAUGGGCGGAAGCCUGAUGCAGCAACGCCGCGUGCGGGAUGACGGCCUUCGGGUUGUAAACCGCUUUCGCCUGUGACGAAGCGUGAGUGACGGUAAUGGGUAAAGAAGCACCGGCUAACUACGUG